ACGAACUACCCAACCCUGAUCCAACUUUGCAUAAGUAAAUAUUAUUUUCUUUUUGCAAUAAAUUAAAAAUAUGUUUAAACAAUAAAUUGUUUAAAUAUACUAAUGAAACAUUAUCAAUAAUACAUAUAUAGUGACAGUUUAAAGAAAAGGAAUUAUUUUAUCCCAAUUAUUACUACGAAAAAAAAAUAACUUAUUUGUGAAUAAAUAGAAAUCAAUAUUGUUUCUCGUUUCCGCGCAAACGUGAAUAUGAACAAAGAAGUUUAAUUGACACUGACAGUAAAAGGAUUGUAGAGAAAGUAAGAAAUAAAGAAUGUUUAAAUAAAAGAAAAUAUCCAACAGUGUGUUAAGUGAAUAAACUGACUUAUUUUUCACCGAUGAUCGGCAAAUCGCAAACUAAAAAUCUCAAUGCAGCCGUGAGGUGGUAUAAAAUUCAAGGAGGGAAUGACGCUUGAAGACCCUUUUUUUGUCGUCAAAGACGAGGUGAAUAAAGCUUUAAAUAAGACAAGAAGUCUUUACAGUCGAUGGAUAGAACUACAAAAUGUUGUUAGUAUCACACCGACAAUAAGUUCGCGACAUCCAGUAUCGCAGGAAGAAUUAGAGUGGACUACAACUGAAUUAAGAAACGCUUUACGGUCCAUUGAAUGGGAUUUAGAAGAUCUUGAAGAUACAAUUUGUAUCGUCGAAAAGAAUCCAUCUAAAUUUAAAAUUGAUAACAAGGAAUUAGCAAUUCGACGACGUUUUAUUGAAGAAACUCGUGACGAAGUUAAGAUUAUGAAAGAUAAGAUGAAUUUAAGUAGAGGCCGAGAUCGAGAUCGUACUGCUAGACAGCCACUUUUAGAUAAUAAUAGUCCUGCUAGAGUGCCAGUUUCACAUAAUACAACAAAAUAUAGUAAAUUAGAAAAUGAAAUGGACAGUCCUAAUCGACAAUUUUUAGAUACAACGAUGCAUCAACAACAUAUCAUGUUGCGCCAACAAGAUGAACAACUUGAUAUGAUAGGAGACAGCAUCGAUACUCUUAAGACUGUAUCAAGGCAAAUUAAUACGGAAUUAGAUGAACAAACAGUAAUGUUGGACGAUUUUGGAAAUGAAUUAGAAGUAACGGACUCUAAAUUAGAUGCAACUAUGAAAAAAAUGUCAAAAGUCCUCCAUAUGAGUAAUGGUAACUAUAAUAAUUACAUUCCUGCUCCUUCUACUUCAUCGUUUCAUGAUACUUAUUAUACACCUAAAUCAUCAUCUUCCUUUUAUUCUUUGUCAACCACUAUUACCAAUUGUUUUCUUUGUUCUAAAGAAUAAUUUAUUUUCAUAUAAAAAAAAUAUUUCAAAACAAAAAUUGAAAUAUAUAAACGCUAAAUUUAGCAAAAUAAGGAAAAUUAUAAUAAUUUAAAAGGGCCAUAACUUAUGAUCUAAUCCAAAAAAAACAUUUUCUAAUUUUUCUUUAAAAUUACCUAAUUUGUCAAAAGAAUUUAAAAAUAUUUUACAAAAAAAAAAUAUUUUCCGUAAUAUCUACGUAGAAUGUGGCACAGGGAAAAUAAAAAUUUUUUUUCAUGGGUAAAUAAAUUGACAAAAAGCCAUUUCCAUUAGCGGACAAAGGCAUAAUUUUUUUCUACUAGUGAACAAUAGAUAUAUAGGAUGUAUCUCUUUUCUUCGCACACACAGUUUUAAAAAAAAAACAAAAUCAAACAAAAUAUAAACAUAAAUCGAAAAUAGUUUCACAAAAAAUUACAUUACGAGUUUAUAAAAUCAGAUUAAAAUUAAAAACUAAUUUUUAUUUUCAUUUUAAUUUAAAAAGAAUUUAAUCAGUUUAAUACCAAAAAAAAUUUGAAGUUUCUAAAAAAUACUCGAACUAUUAAAGAUUUACUUAAUUUUUACAAACACAAAAAAUAGUAAAUAUUUUGAUGAACUGAACAAAGAAAAAAAAAGUGCGCUAAUUUAAAAUAGUAAAUAUUGUCUUCUCAUAUUAUAUAAAUAGAAAUAGUAGGAGUAGAAUACAAAAUGUUGAAUGUGUUAAUAGAAAUUGCUUAUAAAAAUGUGCCAAAAAAAAAAAAUUUAGUCUCAUUUUUCUGUUACCAUAGAAAAAAAAAACAAAAUUAUCAAUUUAUUUUCUAAACAAUUUUUGUAAUUAAUUUCUCAUUUGUUAAACGUAAUUACUGCAAAUAUGGAGUUGGACAAAUUUUACUUAUCGCAGACAAUGGGUAGCAAUUGGAGUCUUGACUGCCAUAUUAAUAGUUCUAAUUGUUUUAUUUAUAAUUAAGUAAAUGACUUUUUUCCGUUAUUAUAGAAAAAUGAUUGUUUUUCAUCGUUUUAUAAUUGUAAAUGUUAAAUAA